UUAAAGUAGUUGUUAUUCACCAUAAGUAAAAAACAUUUAAAUUGCAUUUUAAUAUUUUUUAGCUGCAAACAUUUGUGAAAUAAUUAUUAGACACAUAUAUUUUCGUAAAACAAAAAUAUGUGGAGCAAAUGGUCUUUAAAGUCUUAAUGGUCUAAGGGUAGACGUAACCGAAAUACAUUAACCGGUAGAGGUGUCGUAAGGAUAUCGUCGCUUUAAAUUUGUUGCGGUGGCAGGGCGUUCACUACUACGUUGGCGGCAACAGUUACUUUGCGGCGUGUUUGGUUGGAAAAAAAUGUCUCAACCCGUAUCUCUUCUUCUCUCGCUUUCUAACCUACCCGCAUCAUUUACUUCGUGGUCGAACUUGUAAUCCGGUGAUUAAACAUUAUCGACUUCAAGCAAUGACAACGUUGAGUCGAGCUAAAAACGUAGACAGCUAGACGCAUAACUACUCAAACUAAAUAUAUUUAGAGAAGCAAGACUACUGCCUAUAAGAUUGUAGAGCUUGUGGCAAAGGAUUUUAUUAGCAAAUUUCUUUGCUUUUCAAGCAGAAUGCGCUUUGGGCUAUUUUCCCAGGAAUGCGUUGGACAAAAACAAGCAAACCACGACUAAAACUUCGGAAACUUGAAGGAGCAGACGAAUCGGAAGUGUGGAAGGAGAAGAGAGCACAGAGGAAGCAUGCCAGAAAUAGAUAGAACUUAAAUAUAUGGAUAUAUAUAAAUGUAUAUGGGACAAGUAGCGCUUCCUAUAGCUGAUGACCAAGAGAAAAAAAUGAAGUCGAGUUUGCGGAUUAAGCGCGACUGAGUACAAAGUUGAGUAUAAGCGCGCAAGUGUUGCUGUGAUACAGCUUGCUUGCAAUCCUGUGACGAAAUCACAAAAAUGUACUGUAAAUAAUUAUGCGGCGUUCAAAGUGAAAAGCUGCGUCAGCCAACCGGUCGCGUCUAUAAGUUCGCUGAAUUGAGUAAUUGCAUUGGAAAAUGAAUUGAGAAAUUGCAUUGAAGUCACUGCUUGACUGUGUGCGUGUGCGGCAAACGCUAAUUGCGGCACAAAAGUGCGCGGACGGCUACUAGACACUGGCAACAAAUUGUGUGGUUUUUAUUUAAGUAAGCAAACACAUUUGUAUUGAGUUGAUUUGCUAUGAAUUUGCAUUUUUCUAUUGCCAAUUGUCAAUUGAUUGCAUAUUAAUUUAUUGUUAAGCAAACGCUUGUUGUGAUGAUAUAACUGUUUAUAUUUUUUUUAACGGAUGCUUUCUCAACACUUAAAUACUCGAUAAGUCAAUCAAUCAUCAUUUGCCAAGCGGUUGUAAUUAUAUAGGAAUCUUCAUCAGGUUUAUUAUUUAAAAUUUUGCUGUGGGAUUAUGAGUUGUAAUAUUGCAAUUCUGGUGUUGUAAGGCGUUUUCGAUUUGCAUAUGACAAUAAUAAGCGUAAAUAAUUAAUCUUGUGAAGUAAAAAUCAAUCAGAAGAAUUAUCAAAUAAUGAGCUCCGUUAGAAAAUUAUUUUUUGUAAAAGAAACUCACAUCGAAAAAUUUAACAGAUUAAAAUUGUGAGAUUUGUCUUGCAUCAAUUUUGAAAAAUGUUUUGAACAUUUUUGAAAAAUUACAUACAUUUUAUUUUCGAAACCUUUUAAACAAACUACAUAUUUCUAACUGUUCAAGAGUGCAAGAAAUUUAUAAUUUUUGUGAGGCAAGAUUAAGCUGCCUUUUGAGAAUCGGUAUUAAAUAGAUAUUUUCACAAUCACAAUUUUUCGAAAAAGAGACAUCACUACAUUUAGAGAAUAAUAUUUAUAUAUUAAUUUAAUUAUAUUAAAUAAGAAAACCCUAUAAGAUAAGCUACACUGCUCACGGAGAGAAAAAAAAUUAAUUAUUCCGUUAUUGUCCCUGAUGUUUUUAUCCGGACGCGUGUUUGGUGUAACUUGCAUGUACUACGAUAAUACUCAAUGUAUUUCCCCUCUAUAUAAUAUAAUCCACAAAAUUGUCAUUCAACCACUAACCUGUUGU